CCUACGGGGGGCAGCAGUGAGGAAUAUUGGUCAAUGGACGCAAGUCUGAACCAGCCAUGCCGCGUGCAGGAAGACGGCCCUAUGAGUUGUAAACUGCUUUUGUACGAGGGUAAACGCAGAUACGUGUAUCUGUCUGAAAGUAUCGUACGAAUAAGGAUCGGCUAAUUCCGUGCCAGCAGCCGCGGUAAUACGGAGGAUUCAAGCGUUAUCCGGAUUUAUUGGGUUUAAAGGGUGCGUAGGCGGGCGGAUAAGUGUGAUGUGAAAUCCCGGGGCUCAACUGCGGAAUUGCUUCGGAUACUGGUCGGCUAGAGAGUAGGAGCGGUAGGCGGAAUGUAUGGUGUAGCGGUGAAAUGCUUAGAGAUCAUGCAGAACACCGAUUGCGAAGGCAGCUUACCGAGCUACAACUGACGUUGAGGCACGAAAGCGUGGGGAGCAAACAGGAUUAGAUACCCGGGUAGUC
rnacentral:rRNA from 1 species